UCUCUUCAAAAUUAAACCCACCAGGCUUUGAACAGUAAAACGAAAAUGAAUAAAUUUGCUUAUCGUCAAAAUGGUUUCGUUAGUUUUAGAGAGAUUGAUGUCUCUAAAGGCGUAGUUUGUCCCAAGCCUCGGAGGAGUGGGGCUAAUGAACGGUUCAACACAAAUGCUACAUUGCUGCAAAUCAACAGUCAAGAAGUGGAGGUUUGCAAUUUGAAAGCUGGAACUGAGCUUCUGGAUUUGAUACUCACCAAG